rnacentral:rRNA from 1 species
UACGUAGGGUGCAAGCGUUGUCCGGAAUUAUUGGGCGUAAAGAGCUCGUAGGCGGUUUGUCGCGUCUGCUGUGAAAUCCCGAGGCUCAACCUCGGGUCUGCAGUGGGUACGGGCAGACUAGAGUGUGGUAGGGGAGAUUGGAAUUCCUGGUGUAGCGGUGGAAUGCGCAGAUAUCAGGAGGAACACCGGUGGCGAAGGCGGGUCUCUGGGCAGUAACUGACGCUGAGGAGCGAAAGCGUGGGGAGCGAACAGG